CCCCGAAGCAGCACCCAGGUACUGCGCACAGACUUACCCUCAUGGGCCGGCUCCGGGUCUGGGGUGAGGGAGAUGUCGUUGAGCUCACGCAGACAAAGCCAUUCCCCGUCCACGGAGACUCGAAAGUUGCAAAGGCAUGAUGAUUGUACCCAAAACCUCGUGUCUGUGCAGCAAUGCUGGAGUGAGCUUCAUUAAACCGGGGAACAUUGCAAAGAUUGUGGUCUAUAGACCCAGUUCAUUUUGCCAGAAAAUGGAGAUCAUUGUUACGAUGAAACAUAGUGGGUUUAAAAAGUGUUUGAAUGCAGAGACGAGGUUUGCGAAAACUUUCCUGAAACAUUCAAAGAUGAACAGGAGAAUGAAGAAAAUGUAGGCUUAGAAAGCCAGGAGCCAAGUGCAAGUACCAUGAAUAACAGAAAUCAGUCAUUAAAGAACGUUUCAAAUGUAACAUCAUAAUAGCAAAUGAAUAGAUAACAACAUUUAUGGUAGUAAUAAUAAUAAUUAGACAUAGAAUCUAUGUAACUGAGGAAAUUUCUACAGUUUUAGAUUUCUAUGAUUUAUGUUUUUUUUAAUUGUAUUAAAAACUGUGCUAGCAUGUAAAAUGAUUAAUAAAAUACAUUGGAAAUAUGAUAUUAAUACUCGUAAUAGUACAAUGUGAUUGAUUUAUUGC